GGCGUAGCUCAAUUGGUAGAGCAGCGGUUUUGUAAACCGCAGGUUGCGGGUUCGAGUCCCAUCGCC
rnacentral:tRNA from 1 species